rnacentral:rRNA from 1 species
CAAUACUUAGUGGCAGACGGGUGAGUAACAUGUAGGUAUCUGCCCUUUGGCCUGGAAUAACACGAGGAAACUUGUGCUAAUACCGGAUAAGUCUUUACGGAGAAAGCUUUAUGCACCAUUGGAUGAGCCUGCAUUUGAUUAGUUUGUUGGUAGGGUAAUGGCCUACCAAGACUGUGAUCAAUAGCUGAUUUGAGAGGAUGAUCAGCCACAUUGGGACUGAGACACGGCCCAAACUCCUACGGGAGGCAGCAGUGGGGAAUCUUGCACAAUGGAGGAAACUCUGAUGCAGCGAUGCCGCGUGAGUGAAGAAGGCCCUUGGGUUGUAAAGCUCUUUCGUCGGGGAAGAAAAUGACUGUACCCGAAUAAGAAGGUCCGGCUAACUUCGUGCCAGCAGCCGCGGUAAUACGAAGGGACCUAGCGUAGUUCGGAAUUACUGGGCUUAAAGAGUUCGUAGGUGGUUGAAAAAGUUGGUGGUGAAAUCCCAGAGCUUAACUCUGGAACUGCCAUCAAAACUUUUCAGCUAGAGUAUGAUAGAGGAAAGCAGAAUUUCUAGUGUAGAGGUGAAAUUCGUAGAUAUUAGAAAGAAUACCAAUUGCGAAGGCAGCUUUCUGGAUCAUUACUGACACUGAGGAACGAAAGCAUGGGUAGC